UGGAAAUGUGCCCGAAAGAUAAGGACCUCUUUGAUAAAGAGGAUCAUGGGAGUUCAAGUCCCCCUAUUUCCAU
rnacentral:tRNA from 1 species